AACGCACAUUGCGCCCGCCAGUAUUCUGGCGGGCAUGCCUGUCCGAGCGUCAUUUCAACCAUCAAGCCCCGUGCUUGUGUUGGGGACCUGCGUCCGACCGCAGGCCCUGAAAACCAGUGGCGGGCUCGCUGUCCACACCGAGCGUAGUAACUAACCUCGCUCCGGAGUGGCGCGGGCGCCUGCCGUAAAACCCCCAAUUUAUCAAGGUUGACCUCGGAUCAGGUAGGAAUACCCGCUGAACUUAA
rnacentral:misc_RNA from 5 species